rnacentral:rRNA from 1 species
GAUGAACGCUGGCGGCGUGCCUAAUACAUGCAAGUCGAGCGGACAGACGAGGAGCUUGCUCCUCUGACGUUAGCGGCGGACGGGUGAGUCACACGUGGAUAACCUACCUAUAAGACUGGGAUAACUUCGGGAAACCGGCGCUAAUACCGGAGAAUAUAUUGAACCGCAUGGUUCAAUAGUGAAAGACGGUUUUGCUGGCACUUAUAGAUGGAUCCGCGCCGCAUUAGCUAGUUGGUAAGGUAACGGCUUACCAAGGCAACGAUGCGUAGCCGACCUGAGAGGGGGAUCGGCCACACUGGAACGUAGGCACGGUCCAGGCUCCUACGGGAGGCAGCAGUAGGGAAUCUUCCGCAGUGGGCGAAAGCCUGACGGAGCAACGCCGCGUGAGUGAUGAAGGUCUUCGGAUCGUAAAACUCUGUUAUUAGGGAAGAACAAAUGUGUAAGUAACUAUGCACGUCUUGACGGUACCUAAUCAGAAAGCCACGGCUAACUACGUG